UGUAGGAAGCUAAGAGGGGAACACUUAACUUUCACCACUGCCCUAGAAGGAAGGUAUUGCUAUUUUUCACCGAAUGUGCUUUUGUGUUCUUUAUCCUGUUAGACACCUGCUGGAUUCUGUGGACACAGCCUGAUGGGUAUUUAUGACUUCAUCUGAAAAUGGGACUGGCCAGACUCAGAGAGGUUGAGUGGUUGGUUCCUGGUCACACAGCUUGACUCAGGUACAGAGAUCGCUUUUGAAGGAGAAGGAUGUGGAUCCUCCCACCCCUACCCCACAUAGUGAGGCUCUUACUGGUGAGUGGCUUCAUCCUGGAAGAAUACAGGUGAUCCGGGUGUGGAACUUCUUCCUUCAUUUCCCCUGAGCUCGAGUCUACACUAGAGUAACCCUUGAGGAUUCCUCACAAAUAAAGACCUGCCUGGCCUUGGCAGUACAGUUCCCCCUCCUGUUUGCUGGUUAUCCUGCCUCGGCAGGAAUCCUUCCCUCCUGCGGCAGGGGGCAGAAUGGAACUCAGCUGGCCUCCUCUUUGUGGGAAAGGAGUGGAUGAGAAGAUUUUGGAAGUACACGUUUUCGG
rnacentral:lncRNA from 13 species